rnacentral:lncRNA from 1 species
UAGUUCCAAAUGCUAGAACUCAUGCCCAUUUCAUUCAAAGCAUGUCAUUGAAUUGCAUAACACAUAUUCAAGAUGAAGUUGUGUAGUGACCACCACCUUAGCCAAAAAGCCGUGUGCACUACUCCAUUAUAUGUUUAAGUUUAACCCCGUUGAGCCUUGUUUAGCCUUUUCUUUGUUAACCCACAUUACCCUCACCUAGCCUAGAUUAGGACUAUCCAUACCCUUGUUCUUAAAGCAUAGUAAAGCAUGAUUCGAAUUGAAUUCCUUUUGAUAUAUGUUAGCAGAAAAUAAGUGUGGGGGAAGUGUUUUUCAUGAGGAAUUGUGUGCCAUAGGCACGGCAAAGAAAAAGAAAAAUUGAAAAAAUGAAAAAAAAAAAAAAAAAAAGAGUUCCAAAGUAUUGUUUGUUGAAGUAAGGGUCCAAAACAAUGAAUUUGACCCUAAGGAGUUGUUUAAGUCCCCCCCUUGUGUAUUAAAGUUAAUUUCUGCAAUCUAAGUGAAUUCUAAGUCUCAAUUUCAUUGCUGUGCUUACUAUUGCUUGAAGAACGUUUGUUUUUCCCUAUCCUUUCCUUGUUAACCAACACCCAAGCCCCAUUACAACCCUUAACU